rnacentral:sRNA from 1 species
AGUAUGAAUACUGCCGAAGACAGUAGGUGCUGGAAAGCAUAAGGAUCAAAACGCCUACCGAGGGAAUAUCACUUUCUUACAAGAAUAGGAAUGAUAGAUGCUCUAUGUCUUUGGACAUAGAGCUUUUUUAU